UACGGAGGGUGCAAGCGUUGUCCGGAAUUAUUGGGCGUAAAGAGCGUGUAGGCGGUUCGGUAAGUCUGCCGGGAAAUCCUGGGGCUCAACCCCGGGCGUGCGGUGGAUACUGCCGGGCUAGAGGGUGGUAGAGGCGAGUGGAAUUCCCGGUGUAGCGGUGAAAUGCGCAGAUAUCGGGAGGAACACCAGUAGCGAAGGCGGCUCGCUGGGCCAUUCCUGACGCUGAGACGCGAAAGCUAGGGGAGCGAACGGG
rnacentral:rRNA from 1 species